AGGCAACCUGCCCUUUAGCCUGGGAUAACUACCGGAAACGGUAGCUAAUACCGGAUACUUUCAAUUCUCGCAUGGGAAAUGAACGAAAGACGGAGCAAUUUGUCACUGAAGGAUGGGCCUGCGGCGCAUUAGCUAGUUGGUGGGGUAACGGCUCACCAAGGCGACGAUGCGUAGCCGACCUGAGAGGGUGAUCGGCCACACUGGGACUGAGACACGGCCCAGACUCCUACGGGAGGCAGCAGUAGGGAAUCUUCCGCAAUGGGCGAAAGCCUGACGGAGCAACGCCGCGUGAGUGAUGAAGGUUUUCGGAUCGUAAAGCUCUGUUGCCAGGGAAGAACGUCCGGUAGAGUAACUGCUACCGGAGUGACGGUACCUGAGAAGAAAGCCCCGGCUAACUACGUGCCAGCAGCCGCGGUAAUACGUAGGGGGCAAGCGUUGUCCGGAAUUAUUGGGCGUAAAGCGCGCGCAGGCGGCCGUUUAAGUCCGGUGUUUAAUCCCGAAGCUCAACUUCGGGUCGCACUGGAAACUGGAGGGCUUGAGUGCAGAAGAGGAGAGUGGAAUUCCACGU
rnacentral:rRNA from 1 species